UACGGAGGGUGCGAGCGUUGUCCGGAAUCACUGGGCGUAAAGGGCGCGUAGGCGGCGCAGAUAGUCGGCGGUGAAAGCCCGGAGCUCAACUCCGGGUCGGCCGUCGAUACUUCCGGGCUUGAGCACUGUAGAGGCAGAUGGAAUUCCGGGUGUAGCGGUGGAAUGCGUAGAGAUCCGGAAGAACACCGGUGGCGAAGGCGGUCUGCUGGGCAGUUGCUGACGCUGAUGCGCGACAGCGUGGGGAGCAAACAGG
rnacentral:rRNA from 1 species